UACGUAGGUGGCGAGCGUUGUCCGGAUUUACUGGGCGUAAAGAGCGCGCAGGCGGUCGUACAAGUCGCGUGUGAAAGCCCCCGGCUCAACUGGGGAGGGUCACGCGAUACUGUUCGACUCGAAGGCAGGGGAGGGUAGUGGAAUUCCCGGUGUAGUGGUGAAAUGCGUAGAUAUCGGGAGGAACACCAGUGGCGAAGGCGACUACCUGGCCUGUUCUUGACGCUGAGGCGCGAAAGCUAGGGUAGCAAACGGG
rnacentral:rRNA from 1 species